UACGUAGGCAGCAAGCGUUGUCCGGAUUUAUUGGGCGUAAAGAGCGUGUAGGCGGCCAGACAGGUCAGCUGUGAAAACUCGAGGCUCAACCUCGAGACGUCGGUUGAAACCGUCUGGCUAGAGUCCGGAAGAGGAGAGUGGAAUUCCCGGUGUAGCGGUGAAAUGCGCAGAUAUCGGGAAGAACACCCGUGGCGAAGGCGGCUCUCUGGGACGGUACUGACGCUGAGGAGCGAAAGCGUGGGGAGCGAACAGG
rnacentral:rRNA from 1 species